AUUGAACGCUGGCGGCAUGCCUUACGCAUGCAAGUCGAACGGUAACGCGGGGCAACCUGGCGACGAGUGGCGAACGGGUGAGUAAUGUAUCGGAACGUGCCCAGUUGUGGGGGAUAACUGCUCGAAAGAGCAGCUAAUACCGCAUACGACCUGAGGGUGAAAGCGGGGGAUCGCAAGAACCCGCGCAAUUGGAGCGGCCGAUAUCAGAUUAGGUAGUUGGUGGGGUAAAGGCUCACGAAGCCAACGAUCUGUAGCUGGUCUGAGAGGACGACCAGCCACACUGGGACUGAGACACGGCCCAGACUCCUACGGGAGGCAGCAGUGGGGAAUUUUGGACAAUGGACGCAAGUCUGAUCCAGCCAUGCCGCGUGCGGGAAGAAGGCCUUCGGGUUGUAAACCGCUUUUGUCAGGGAAGAAACGCUCUGGGUUAAUACCUCGGGGUAAUGACGGUACCUGAAGAAUAAGCACCGGCUAACUACGUGCCAGCCGCCGCGGUAACAC
rnacentral:rRNA from 1 species